rnacentral:tRNA from 1 species
GCGGUCAUGGUCCAGCUUGGCCAAGACGCUUCGUUGCCAAUGAAGAAACCGGAGUUCAAAUCUCCGUGGUCGUA